rnacentral:tRNA from 1 species
GACUCCGUAGCUCAGCUGGUAGAGCAAUUGACUCUUAAUCAAUGGGUCGAGGGUUCGAGUCCCUCCGGGGUCA